UACGGGGGGGGUAAGCGUUGUUCGGAAUUACUGGGCGUAAAGGGCGCGUAGGCGGCCAUCUAAGUCAGACGUGAAAUCCCCCGCUUAACCUGGGAACUGCGUCUGAUACUGGACGGCUUGAGUAUGGGAGAGGGAUGUAGAAUUCCAGGUGUAGCGGUGAAAUGCGUAGAUAUCUGGAGGAAUACCGGUGGCGAAGGCGGCAUCCUGGACCGGUAUUGACGCUGAGGCGCGAAAGCCAGGGGGAGCAAACGGG
rnacentral:rRNA from 1 species